UACAGAGGUCUCAAGCGUUGUUCGGAUUCAUUGGGCGUAAAGGGUGCGUAGGUGGCGCGCUAAGUCAGGUGUGAAAUCUCGGAGCUUAACUCCGAAACUGCAUUUGAUACUGGUGUGCUUGAGGACUGGAGAGGAGACUGGAAUUCACGGUGUAGCAGUGAAAUGCGUAGAUAUCAGGAGGAACACCGAUGGCGAAGGCAGCUCGCUGGGACGGUACUGACGCUGAGGCGCGAAAGCGUGGGGAGCAAACAGG
rnacentral:rRNA from 1 species